rnacentral:rRNA from 1 species
AUUGAACGCUGGCGGCAGGCCUAACACAUGCAAGUCGAAUGGUAACAGGAAACAGCUUGCUGUUUCGCUGACGAGUGGCGGACGGGUGAGUAAUGUCUGGGAAACUGCCUGAUGGAGGGGGAUAACUACUGGAAACGGUAGCUAAUACCGCAUAACGUCGCAAGACCAAAGAGGGGGACCUUCGGGCCUCUUGCCAUCAGAUGUGCCCAGAUGGGAUUAGCUAGUAGGUGGGGUAACGGCUCACCUAGGCGACGAUCCCUAGCUGAUCUGAGAGGAUGACCAGCCACACUGGAACUGAGACACGGUCCAGACUCCUACGGGAGGCAGCAGUGGGGAAUAUUGCACAAUGGGCGCAAGCCUGAUGCAGCCAUGCCGCGUGUAUGAAGAAGGCCUUCGGGUUGUAAAGUACUUUCAGCGGGGAGGAAGGGAGUAAAGUUAAUACCUUUGCUCAUUGACGUUACCCGCAGAAGAAGCACCGGCUAACUCCGUG